AUCUAACUGAAGAGUCCCAAACAGGAUAAAACGAGUGUCAAACUAGAU
rnacentral:hammerhead_ribozyme from 1 species